AAUGUUUCAUCGACAAGAAAGCUGCUAACAAGACAAUACUGCAUUUUUUAUGUGCAAAACAGGACAAAGAGGAUUUCAAAAUUGAUUUUGAGUAUUUCCCCUGAUAUUCUUGUGCAACAAAUACCUCAAAGAAAACAAGCCUCAAAGAGAAGCCUGAAAAUAGUAUGUUUUUACAAUGUUGUAAAGUGUAUUUACUCAAACAAUUCCAAGAAAUGUAUUUGUAAAGAAAAUGUGUACUGGAAAGAGACCUCAGGAAAUUCUCAUCUCCAGGAUCACACCCUGAGCCAAGGCAGAGGCUCAACCACUGAGCCACCGAGGUGUCCCGCAUUUCUUUCAAUCUUUUCAUCAUGUAAGUAUAUACACCUUUUAAAUAAGAUUAUAUUAGAUAUAAAGUUGCAUUCUU
rnacentral:lncRNA from 12 species